rnacentral:lncRNA from 1 species
GUUGAACGGAGGAGCCGUGCGCCUCUGGGGGCCGCGCCGGUGGGCGCCCCGCAGCAGCUGGCCCCGGGCGGCCCCAGCGCCCGGCCGCCCUGCCAGCGGCGACGGAGCAUUUCCAUACAGCAAGUGUCUGUGCGCGCCGCUCGGAAAGGAUGGGCACGGAGGGAGGGGGAGCAGCGGCGAAGCCCAGACGUCUUGCCGCCCGCCCGGUGCCGCAGCCGAAAGGGUGACAGAAAGGACCGUUUCGCGGGGACGGUGCCCACGGCCGCGGGCCUGCGUCUCUCCAGGGACAGGGCUUUCCGGAGAAACAAAUCAAGAAAAAAAACCUGGUUUAUCUUCCCUCCACCCAGCGUCAGUUCUUCGUGGCUGUGCAUAGGGACUGCGGAGCAGCGUGAAGUGCUGUGUAGGACAGAGGCUCCUCCAGGUGCUGGUGCUCCCACAGACAGAAAAAAAUUUUCACAGCUGUGUCUCCUGAGUUUUGCGAAGGAAGCCGAGGCAUCAGGAGCAUACACCGGUUCUUUCCCAGCGUCAGCUGAGAUGAAGGUCCUGGACAGAGAUCCCACCCCAGAGGGUUAAUCAUCCCAAAUGACCUCAGUAGAAACUUCUUCUUAACUUUAAACUUUGGUCCUCAGAGUGCAGGAUUUCCCAGUGGAGCAAUGCAUGCAAACUGACAUCCGUUAAGACAAAAUGAGCAAGCUCAAAAGAAAAUUGCUCAUGAGUGCAAGGAGUUAUUGGAGCUAGCUGAACCUGAUUGCAGUCAAUCAGGUUGUGCCCGAGAAAUCCUUGAUCAAAGCAUGCUUCCAGGCUGUGGUCCAUAAUGAUUGUCAGCUGCUGUCUGCCUCAGUCUACAGCUUAACUGCACCUCAGCGACAACUGCCUCCUGCUUUUAUCUGUGUUGUGGGACCGUGUGCCCUAGAAUACGCUCCCUUCAGUAUGUUCAGGUUGGAUUGUUUGUUUUCUUUUUCUGCAUUUGAAAUACAUGGCAAACUCUUCUUUCCCCGAAUGUGUUUUGUUUCAUUAUAGUUAAUAACCACAGCUACAUUUCCUUAAGGUUGGCCUGUGUCAAGGGAACCCUCUGCCUUCCUUCUGAUGUUUUCCCUCCCUCCGUGCUCUUCAUGGCCUGAUGGAACAGUUUCUUGUCACUGAUACAUGGACAUUCAAAGGACUUGCAUAGCCUUCGAUUUUAAGAACACGCUUUUGUAGCUAUUUUCUUGAAGAAAAAAAUGAGUAUUGAUUAAUAUUUUUUUUUCUUUGCAUGAAAAUAGGAGGGGAGGCCUGAUUUGGCAGGAUGCUGAACGUGCUCUGCCGCACAGUGAAUUCUGUCACUUACUGUGCUUUCCAGGCUAGCUGCUGGAAAUGUCACAGGAUUAAUUUCAGAAUCCCCUGAGAUGCCUGUUGGCUUUGUCCAGAAUCAUUACUCAUUCUCUGCUACGUACACAAGCUUAUUAAACCACGGUGAGACCUUAGUUGUGUUUGCUGUGUUACUGUUCAUUUCCAUUCUGUUCUGUCUAGGCUCUUACCCUUUGCCUACCGAUAUGUUACGCGAGCACCUUGCAGUGACAGCUAGCUGUGUUCUCUGUUGUGCAUGCUUAUUUUAUGGCACAUAGGAGCUAACCGAUGCAAGGAAGCCAGCCAGUUACUUGUGCUGUUCUCUGGCUUGUACCCAUCACUUCUAGUCCGUGAUAGUGUAGUGAAAAAAUCAAUAGCAGACAAAUAAGUAGACACGAUGUCAUCCUUGCAGAUAGGGAGGACUUGCAGGCAGCCAACAGAUCAUGUAUGUGCUUUAAGAAUGUUUGUGGAGUUACCAUCCAAGAAUGUGCAAAUAGCUGCCCAUCCCAGUGUUACGUGCCUGCGAUUAGGGAGAAGUGCUAAACCAUCUCGAGACUUGAUUAGCAUCCAAAUCUGAAGGAUGUGUCUUGUGCUGCCGAGCUGGUUGGGGUGAUUUUUCUAGGGGAGUGAAGAAGAAACUAUGUGAAUGCAAUCUCUUCCUCACCUUAUCUCUGCUGGGGGCUAAAAUAAAACUGGAGGGAGGUGGCUGGCGGGAGCUGGUGGGCUGCUCUGCGAAAGGGUCCUCCAGCGUGGGCUCCAUCCAGCAGCCAGGAGCGAGGAGCCCAGCGCCUUGUGCAGCCCCACGGGGAGAAGGACAUCUCUUUGAGUCAGCCAGGAAACCUGUCUGCUGCCCGCUGUUUUCCCAGGGACCGAUGUCCUCAGGAAGUAAAAGGUUAGCACGGGCUAUCAGCAGACUACUUUGGUGCGGAGACUUUUUUACGAUUGCAUUAACGUCUCUUUUCCUGUUGUUGUACAGAAAUUAUGACUCCUAGUGUCAAUGGUGAGAUGAAAGCAGGAGCCUUUUUGCAUGGAGCAAGCAUUAAAAGCUAGCUGUUAGGUUAAUCAUAAAAGAGAAUUAGUGCUGGCUGGCGGCUGUUUACUUUCAGAGAAGUUUGCUUUUGUGUUGUUACUCUUUUAACUCUUUGCACUCGUCUGUAUCCUUUUGUACAGAGUCAGCUACGUAUUUGUCACUGUCCUCUUUCGCUGCCUAACCUGGGGUCUGCUGCUGAAACUCCCCACGAGCUCAACUUCUCAACUAACGGGAUAGUUUGGAAUCAGAGCAGAAAACUGGGAGAUAGGAUGGGUCUUUCAGGUGAGCAGUGUGUGACAACACAAUAAUGUUUGUAACCGGUUGUGAGAGGAGAGCCUCUGGUUUCAAGGAGCGGGCUUUUUCAGGAUGUACCCAUACAGUGUUUAACAGUGCCAUGUCAAAAUAAAAAUCAUUGAUUAAAAGUGCACCUU